AUUUGUUGACUUUUCUACAAACAAAGUGCCAAAAGUCCAGGUGACGUCACCACCCACAGCCGCACGCGACCCUGCUGCUGCCGACGUGGCGCGAGCUCGAGCUCGAGCGGAAGGGUUGCACGAGAGCGCGACUGUCAGCAGAACUGAGCACCAUGUCGCAAGAUGAGACCGUGGAAGACCUCAUUACAAAACCUCCCCCUUCCCUCCAGCCGACUGCCUCUGAUGAAACUGCCACCGUAGCUGCAGCCAAUACAGAUGAAGUCCCGUCUAUAUCACAACUCUCACUAGACACAUUGGCCCCUGACGUAACCAAUGCGGCUGCAGAAGAGCACAGUACAACCAAAGGUGUUGAAGAGAUGCAGGUCCACCCAUCAGAAGAAAAAUCUGAGGGUCAGGUGACUGAAUGUGUGGAUUCGGUGAGCUUGGAUCCAGAUGUUACACAGGAAGAAGCACAGGGAACAGAGCCCCUGGAUGAGUCUAAAUCUAAAGGCUGGAGUAGUUGGGGCUCCUGGGGGAAGUCACUUCUGACCACUGCUACAUCCACUGUG